AAAACGAGUCUCUGAGAACUUAGCAGCUUGAGCAAACCCUUCAGAUCAAGAAACACAAUCCAUCUCAGGUCCUAUGAAACUUUAUCUAACAGUAUCAGCAUGGACCUUUAUUAUGACUAAACAACAUAACCGAGAAAGGAGCUAGCUUCAGACCAGUUGGAAUCAGAAGAGAGAACAGAAGCCCAGUGGGAAUUGCAAAGACAAAACACCACAGUGUACCAGAUGAAUGCAGACCUCCAGCAUGCUCAAAUGGUGGCAGAAGAAACAAAGAUUCAACUGGACAAGGCUGAGGUGGAGGCAGUGACCAUGAAGAGCAGUACAGCCAGACGCUAAAAGAGGUAAUAUUCCUAGCCAGCUGUCUAAGAGAUUUCAAACAGAGGGGAAUCAAACCCUCCCUUUUUC
rnacentral:lncRNA from 1 species